AAAGAAAGAGGGGGGCAUGCCUAACACAUGCAAGUCGAACGAGACCUUCGGGUCUAGUGGCGCACGGGUGCGUAACGCGUGGGAACCUGCCCUUAGGUUCGGAAUAACUCCCCGAAAGGGGUGCUAAUACCGGAUAAUGUCUUCGGACCAAAGAUUUAUCGCCUUUGGAUGGGCCCGCGUUGGAUUAGCUAGUUGGUAGGGUAAAAGCCUACCAAGGCGACGAUCCAUAGCUGGUCUGAGAGGAUGAUCAGCCACACUGGGACUGAGACACGGCCCAGACUCCUACGGGAGGCAGCAGUGGGGAAUAUUGGACAAUGGGCGAAAGCCUGAUCCAGCAAUGCCGCGUGAGUGAUGAAGGCCUUAGGGUUGUAAAGCUCUUUUACCCGGGAUGAUAAUGACAGUACCGGGAGAAUAAGCUCCGGCUAACUCCGUG
rnacentral:rRNA from 1 species